rnacentral:rRNA from 1 species
GGAUCCAGACUUUGAUCCUGGCUCAGGAUGAACGCUAGCUACAGGCUUAACACAUGCAAGUCGAGGGGAAACGAUAUUGGAAGCUUGCUUCCGAUAGGCGUCGACCGGCGCACGGGUGAGUAACGCGUAUCCAACCUGCCCACCACUUGGGGAUAACCUUGCGAAAGUAAGACUAAUACCCAAUGACGUCUCUAGAAGACAUCUGAAAGAGAUUAAAGAUUUAUCGGUGAUGGAUGGGGAUGCGUCUGAUUAGCUUGUUGGCGGGGUAACGGCCCACCAAGGCGACGAUCAGUAGGGGUUCUGAGAGGAAGGUCCCCCACAUUGGAACUGAGACACGGUCCAAACUCCUACGGGAGGCAGCAGUGAGGAAUAUUGGUCAAUGGGCGAGAGCCUGAACCAGCCAAGUAGCGUGCAGGAAGACGGCCCUAUGGGUUGUAAACUGCUUUUAUAAGGGAAUAAAGUGAGUCUCGUGAGACUUUUUGCAUGUACCUUAUGAAUAAGGACCGGCUAAUUCCGUGCCAGCAGCCGCGGUAAUACGGAAGGUCCGGGCGUUAUCCGGAUUUAUUGGGUUUAAAGGGAGCGUAGGCCGGAGAUUAAGCGUGUUGUGAAAUGUAGACGCUCAACGUCUGCACUGCAGCGCGAACUGGUUUCCUUGAGUACGCACAAAGUGGGCGGAAUUCGUGGUGUAGCGGUGAAAUGCUUAGAUAUCACGAAGAACUCCGAUUGCGAAGGCAGCCCACUGGAGCGCAACUGACGCUGAAGCUCGAAAGUGCGGGUAUCGAACAGGAUUAGAUACCCUGGUAGUCCGCACGGUAAACGAUGGAUGCCCGCUGUUGGUCUGAAUAGGUCAGCGGCCAAGCGAAAGCAUUAAGCAUCCCACCUGGGGAGUACGCCGGCAACGGUGCAACUCAAAUGAAUUGACGG